rnacentral:rRNA from 1 species
CCCGCUGAACUUAAGCAUAUCAAUAAGCGGAGGAAAAGAAACUAACAAGGAUUCCCCUAGUAACUGCGAGUGAAGCGGGAAAAGCUCAAAUUUAAAAUCUGGCGGUCUUUUGGCUGUCCGAGUUGUAAUCUAGAGAAGUGUUAUCCGCGCUGGACCGUGUACAAGUCUCCUGGAAUGGAGCAUCAUAGAGGGUGAGAAUCCCGUCUUUGACAUGGACUGCCAGGGCUUUGUGAUGCGCUCUCAAAGAGUCGAGUUGUUUGGGAAUGCAGCUCAAAAUGGGUGGUAAAUUCCAUCUAAAGCUAAAUAUUGGCGAGAGACCGAUAGCGAACAAGUACCGUGAGGGAAAGAUGAAAAGAACUUUGGAAAGAGAGUUAAACAGUACGUGAAAUUGCUGAAAGGGAAACGCUUGAAGUCAGUCGCGUCAUCCAGGGAUCAGCCUUGCUCUUUUGCUCGGUGUAUUUCCUGGUCGACGGGUCAGCAUCGGUUUCGACCGUCGGAAAAUGGCUCGAGGAAUGUGGCACUCUUCGGAGUGUGUUAUAGACUCGGGUCGAAUACGGCGAUUGGGACCGAGGAACUCAGCACGACCUUAGGGUUCGGGGCUUCGGCCCACGUCAACGUGCUUAGGAUGCUGGCAUAAUGGCCUUAAGCGACCCGUCUUGAAACACGG